UUGUGUUUGACCCUUUCCUGUUUCCAUAAAUAAAUGGAUUUCUCAGUUCGGAAGUCUGCACAGAGCUCUGACCUCUGAUCCUACUAAUCCUUUGGGAUGAAUUGAACUGUUGACUGCGAGCCAGGCCUUAUCCAUUGCCGACCUCACUAAUGCUCUUAGGGCUGAAUGGAAGCAAAUUCCUGCAGUCAGGUUCCAGUCUUACAGAAGGAGAGGAGGCUGUUACAGAAGCAAAAUCAAAGUGCUUGAAAACAGACUUGAAAUUGGAGCUGUGUUUAUGUGUUUAUGAGGCCGCGGGGUACAAGGUGCUGUUUACAUAUGCAGGCGUGCCAUCUGGAUCCACUGCGGCAGAGUCAAGGCUGCUGAAGCACGCUCCCACAAUGCACCUCUUAAAAUUACUCUUCAAGAAAGGUCAUUGCUAACAUCGUCAUUAUCAACAUCAUCAUCAUCAUCAUCUCCUAAAUAAUCAU